rnacentral:rRNA from 1 species
CACGUAGGGGGCGAGCGUUGUCCGGAUUUAUUGGGCGUAAAGAGCUCGUAGGCGGCUCGGUAAGUCAGGUGUGAAACCUCCAGGCUCAACCUGGAGACGCCACCUGAUACUGCCGUGGCUAGAGUCCGGUAGAGGAGCGUAGAAUUCCUGGUGUAGCGGUGAAAUGCGCAGAUAUCGGGAGGAACACCAGUAGCGAAGGCGGCUCGCUGGGCCAUUCCUGACGCUGAGACGCGAAAGCUAGGGGAGCGAACAGG